CCUACGGGUGGCUGCAGUGGGGAAUCUUCCGCAAUGGGCGAAAGCCUGACGGAGCAACGCCGCGUGAUCGAAUGAAGGCCUUCGGGUUGUAAAGAUCUGUUGACAGGGACGAAUAAGCCAUGCGAAUAGUUUGGUGUAUGACGGUACCUGUUUAGAAAGCUCCGGCUAACUACGUGCCAGCAGCCGCGGUAAUACGUAGGGAGCAAGCGUUGUCCGGAAUUACUGGGGGUAAAGGGCGCGUAGGUGGGUGCUUAAGUCAGGUGUGAAAACUCUGGGCUCAACCUGGAGACUGCACUUGAAACUGGGUAUCUUGAGGGCAGGAGAGGAAAGUGGAAUUCCUAGUGUAGCGGUGAAAUGCGUAGAUAUUAGGAGGAACACCAGUGGCGAAGGCGGCUUACUGGACUGUAACUGACGUUGAGGCUCGAAAGCGUGGGGAGCAAACAGGAUUAGAUACCCCUGUAGUG
rnacentral:rRNA from 1 species